rnacentral:rRNA from 1 species
UGGGGAAUUUUGCACAAUGGGGGAAACCCUGAUGCAGCGACGCCGCGUGAUUUAGAAGGCCUUCGGGUUGUAAAAAUCUUUUCUAUGGGAAGAAAAUGACAGUACCAUAGGAAUAAGGACCGGCUAAUUACGUGCCAGCAGCCGCGGUAAUACGUAAGGUCCGAACGUUGUCCGGAAUCAUUGGGCGUAAAGGGUACGUAGGCGGGUAAGCAAGUUAGAAGUGAAAUCCUAUAGCUCAACUAUAGUAAGCUUUUAAAACUGCUCAUCUUGAGGUAUGGAAGGGAAAGUGGAAUUCCUAGUGUAGCGGUGAAAUGCGCAGAUAUUAGGAGGAAUACCGGUGGCGAAGGCGACUUUCUGGCCAUAACCUGACGCUGAGGUACGAAAGCGUGGGUAGCAAACAGG